rnacentral:lncRNA from 1 species
CCUCUUCUUUUUUUCUUAUAUAAGCUACCACUUAAAAAUAUAUGCUAUAUUAAUUAAGCCCAUGCCUAAUACCUAUUAGUAUAGUAUGGGUCACUCCAUAUGGGGCUAGCCUAAAAUAUAAGUAGUAAGCCCAACAAUCUUCCUCUCUAGAUUCAUAAGGAUGACUCUCAUUACUUAAUGAAUCCAAUAUCUGAGUGCCUAUGCUCACCAUGCACCUACAUCCACCAAGUCGCUAUUAGACCUGAGCAUGGGCCAGGCAGCCCAUCUAGCCCGAUAGCCCUAGUCUGUGAUUUGGAUGAGCUUGGAUAUGGAGAAUUCACAAGAGACCUGGCCCAGCCCGAGGCCCGAGAGACCCGCUCACUUUUAUGGUUGGGCUUGAGAAUCUAUGUAAAUACUUAACUUGGCCUAGCCCGGCCCAAGAAAUAAGUGGAGGUUUAGAAACCCUUCAUACCCCCCACCCCAAAUCUUGCUUAGAGUGCCCACCACCCAACAAUAUUUAAUACCUUUAGUUGUAAAUGCAAGGGACCUUCUGUCAUAGCCACCUCUGAAUUGUGCAAAAAUUACUCAUGUUUUACUCUGUUUACCCAUAUGAUUUUUCACAUAGAAUCUUUACUAUUUAAAAAGAAAAAAAAUAGGUGGAUCUCUUGGGCAAAGUUGGGCAGCCCAUCCAUCAUCUAGGAUUGGGCCUAGGCAGCAAAGAUAAGCCCGAUGGUUGGGCCGGGCUGGGCCUAGGUUGAGAAAAAAGCUGCUAAUAUCUUAGCAAGGCCUAGUCCGAGACCACCCAAGUCCGCCUAUUGC